UGGGGAAUUUUGCACAAUGGGGGAAACCCUGAUGCAGCGACGCCGCGUGAUUUAGAAGGCCUUCGGGUUGUAAAACUCUUUUCUAUGGGAAGAAAAUGACAGUACCAUAGGAAUAAGGACCGGCUAAUUACGUUCCAGCAGCCGCGGUAAUACGUAAGGUCCGAGCGUUGUCCGGAAUCAUUGGGCGUAAAGGGUACGUAGGCGGGUAAGCAAGUUAGAAGUGAAAUCCUAUAGCUCAACUAUAGUAAGCUUUUAAAACUGCUCAUCUUGAGGUAUGGAAGGGAAAGUGGAAUUCCUAGUGUAGCGGUGAAAUGCGCAGAUAUUAGGAGGAAUACCGGUGGCGAAGGCGACUUUCUGGCCAUAACCUGACGCUGAGGUACGAAAGCGUGGGUAGCAAACAGG
rnacentral:rRNA from 1 species